CAGUAGCCGCGGUAAUACGGAGGAUCCAAGCGUUAUCCGGAAUCAUUGGGUUUAAAGUGUCCGUAGGCGGUCUUGUAAGUCAGUGGUGAAAGCCCAUCGCUCAACGGUGGAACGGCCAUUGAUACUGCAGGACUUGAAUUAUUGGGAAGUAACUAGAAUAUGUAGUGUAGCGGUGAAAUGCUUAGAGAUUACAUGGAAUACCAAUUGCGAAGGCAGGUUACUACCAAUUGAUUGACGCUGAUGGACGAAAGCGUGGGUAGCGAACAGGAUUAGAUACCCGAGUAGUCCCUGUCUCUUAUAC
rnacentral:rRNA from 1 species